UACGGAGGGUGCGAGCGUUGUCCGGAAUCACUGGGCGUAAAGGGCGCGUAGGCGGCCGAGCAAGGUCGCGGUGAAAGCCCGGGGCUCAACCCCGGGUCGGCCGUGGCAACUACUUGGCUAGAGCACUGUAGGGGCGGGUGGAAUUCCGGGUGUAGCGGUGGAAUGCGUAGAGAUCCGGAAGAACACCGGUGGCGAAGGCGGCCCGCUGGGCAGGAAGGUGGCGCAAGUCACCGGCUGACGCUGAUGCGCGACAGCGUGGGGAGCAAACAGG
rnacentral:rRNA from 1 species